ACUCCUACGGGAGGCAGCAGUGGGGAAUAUUGCGCAAUGGGCGAAAGCCUGACGCAGCAACGCCGCGUGAGUGAUGAAGGCCUUCGGGUCGUAAAGCUCUGUCGGAGGGAACGAACGUUCCCGGAGUUAACAGCUCCGGGAAGUGACGGUACCCUCAAAGGAAGCACCGGCUAACUCUGUGCCAGCAGCCGCGGUAAU
rnacentral:rRNA from 1 species